AGACUCGGUGAAAUUGUAAUUCCGGUGAAGAUGCCGGAUACCUGCGACAGGACGGAAAGACCCCAUGGAGCUUUACUGUAGCUUGACAUUGGGUCUUGGUACUACAUGUACAGGAUAGGUGGGAGGCUUUGAAACCAGGACGCCAGUUUUGGCGGAGCCAUCCUUGGGAUACCACCCUUGUAGUACUGGGACUCUAACCAUAGGCCAUGAAUCUGGUCUUGGGACACUGUCAGGUGGGCAGUUUGACUGGGGCGGUCGCCUCCCAAAAGGGAACGGAGGCGCUCAAAGGUUCUCUCAGUACGGUCGGAAAUCGUACGUAGAGUGUAAAGGCAAAAGAGAGCUUGAUUGCAAGACAUACAGGUCGAGCAAGGAUGAAAAUCGGACUUAGUGAUCCGGUGGUUCUGCGUGGAAGGGCCAUCGCUCAACGGAUAAAAGCUCCCCUGGGGAUAACAGGCUUAUCUCCCCCAAGAGUCCACAUCGACGGGGAGGUUUGGCACCUCGAUGUCGGCUCAUCACAUCCUGGGGCUGUAGUAGGUCCCAAGGGUUGGGCUGUUCGCCCAUUAAAGUGGUACGCGAGCUGGGUUCAGAACGUCGUGAGACAGUUCGGUCCCUAUCCGUCGCAGGCGUAGGAAAUUUGAGAAGCCCUGUCCUUAGUACGAGAGGACCGGGAUGGACGUACCUCUGGUGUACCAGUUGU
rnacentral:rRNA from 1 species